rnacentral:lncRNA from 1 species
CCAAAGCCCUAGACUCCAGUUAUGUUGUUAUGAUCAGACAAUGUUAAGGAAAAUCAAAUGCAUUUUUAAUUUUUAAAUAAAUAAUUCCUCUUCCAUCACAACUUUUUUUCAAGUCUUGAAUACAAAGUUACUUCCAAAUAUACUUGAUGAGAACAAUCAGACUAUUUUUCUCAUGGACAGCAGACACCUUCCUUUGUGCUGUUCUAUUAUUCUUCAUCUUUAUACCUGUCCUUCCUCUUCCUCAGUAUUGCUACAGGUACUCUGAAAAAUUAUCAAGUACCUAAUCAAGGAUUCUAAAGAUCUUUGUCUCAUUUUUAUGACCUCUAAGAAAAAUGGAAAAGAACGGAGAGUCCAUAUUUGUGGUGAAACUACUAUGUGUCAAACAUAAAGAUAGGAAAUUUUGACACCUAGCCCUUGUGGAUGCUAUAAUCCUAAGAGACAGCUGUUAUUGAACCUAUUUUGCAGAGGAGGAAACUGAGGCCAAGAGAGACUUAGCAAUAGAUAUGGGGCAAAACGGUAUUUGGAACUAGCAGUGUAUAAUUCCAAAGCUCAUGCUCUUUGUAAUCUGAGUAAAAUAUUACCCCUGGAAUUUUUACUAAUGUUAAAUAUAAUUACACCUUUUUAUAAAAAUAUAUUUAAUGACUAUUUUCAAAGCAUUGUCACAUACAUCAUCCCAUUCCAAGGCAGCUGGUAGAAUGGGGGACUUGAGGGGGGGGUUGUUGCGAGGGAUGGCAAUAAUGUAUAUAAAGUAUAAUAUCCAGCCAGAGUAAGACAAGUGCUCAGUAGUUAUCAUUACUGUCACUAUUAUUAUUAUUACUGUUGAUCCUCACAGCAGGCUUAGAAGUAAGGUAGUACAGCUGUUAUCAUGCCCUCUUGAUAGACUUUCUCUACAAAGAUUAACCCCAUUCAUAUUAUACUCCACAAGCAAGAGAAUUACUUUAAACUUUUUAUUUACAAGGCAUUUACUUACAGGAAUCUCAAAACACCAUAUUCAAAUUCAGUUUGUUUGCAAUGCAGGCAGGCAGGGAUUGGAGGGGAAGUAGCUGUGAGGUGGGCUUACAGUCUUUCCCAGCAGAGUCAGAAUUGGAAAUUUUGCCUUCCAUCUUCAAAAUGAGUCUCCUUUCCAGGCCAUGGAAGUGGUACAGGAGGACUUUCUUUCUCAUGAGUCAUCAUCUUCUUCUUACAAGGGGUAAUGUAAUGGUGAGCCCUUUCUUCAGUUCCCUGCUUGUACAGGGAGGGAGCACCCCCCACCACUACCAGAUAGUUGCAGACCAAGCUUGUUUACCAUGGUGAGAGCCGUUAUCAUGAGGCAGAGGGUGGUUCCGGUUUGACGUCUGUGGCCGCAUUCCUGCUCUCCGGAUAGCAGACAGAGAAGUGCAAGAAAAGUGCUUGGUAUCAGUGACUCACAGCAAGACAGGAAAUCUCAAGCGGAUCCACCCUUCCUUCCUGACUUCACGACCAGCUGAGCAGAAGAACCACAGGCCACAAGGAUUCUAGAAUCUUGAUGAGAAGGGCUAGAGCCACAGACAGAGACUGGGCCACAGCAAUAUGCUCACUAAAUGGAUUAAAAUGCCAGGACCCCGCUGCCAGGAAAGCAUGCUUUCUUCAUCCUAGAGAACACUGUUUCUGCCAAGAUUCUCUUUUCACCUUUACCCAGGAUCUCCCUGGUAUAUGCUGGCCUUUGCAUUGUUCUUAAACAUGAGAACAAUAGACUUGACACAAUUCAAUUGAGUGGCCCUCAUUCAUACCCUGUUUUAAAAGCAUGCAAGAAAUGAUAACAAUCAUCAUUAUCAAGCAAAGCCUUCACACUGCAGCAUGGCAAAGUAUGUCUCUCCAGCAAAAUGUAAACACGUUUAUAGUAGAUUUUUGAACCCAGUGUCAAAUUGCUUCUGUAAAGUUACAUCAUGUUUCUCCUUAUGAGAGCAGCAAAUGAUUAGGAUAAUGAUAAAGACUAAUAGUCGUUAUGCCAAGGACAGCUCAAAGCACUCUAUAUGCCUUAAGUCAUUUAAGUUUUUCAACUACCCUUUGAGAUAAGCAUUGUUAUUGGUCCCGUUUUACAAAUGAGGAAGUUAUCAAAGUGAAGGAAAGCCUCUUCACUGUCUCCCCAAACUGUUUUUAAACCUCACAAAUAAUAAAUAAAGCUCAAAACAAAAAAUGAAAAAUAUAAAUGAAACUGCUGCUAACCCUGAUUUGUUGUAAGAGUCAAGUGAAUAAAUGACACAAAAUGAUUAUAGACAUAUUUCCCAUAUCUGGCCAAUUCAGUAGUAUAUUUCCAACUCAUUCAUUAAACUGUAAAAAAAAAAAAAAAUACGCCUACAAAAUAGUCAAGUUAAAAUUCUGAGUCAUUCCAGCAGACCAAAUUUGUCAGUAUCUUUUGUCAAGGCCACUUCCCUCUCUUCCUGCAGGGCAGCAAUGUCAGAAAGUGGCAGAAGUCUGCAUUUCUGUGUGUUUUAUAUAUAUAAGCUUUCACUUCUCACCUCCUUUUAUUUCCCUGCUCUCUCCAAGCUCACCUCACACCCUAUGGUCCAGCCACAACAAAAUAUGAUGCAUCUAGUGCACUUGAUCUUUAUUUUGAGUCUUUGAAUGUGGUGCUGUUUUCUUUGUCUGAAAAGUUAUCUCCCCCUCUUCUACCCAGAAAGUACUUGCAGCAUUCAGAAAUCUAUCCAUCUGUUCAUACACUCAAAGAGUUAUUACCGAACACCUAUUAUGAGGCAGAUACAGGAAGGUCGGGGAGGGAACAAGGUCACUGUUCUGAUGAACUUUCCACUGCAGAGAAAGAAGCAAAGUUAAGAAAGAAAAGAAGGAAGGAAAAAAGUAAGAGAGUAAAGGAAGGUCAGUGGGAGAAAGGAAGGAAGGCAGGCAGGAAAGAAGGAGGGAAGCAGAGGGGAGAAAGGGAUGGAAGGAGGCACUAAUUAAUUAGUGUUAUGCAAGCCAUAUGACACUGGGUGUCAGGAAUCCAUCCACCUGAGCUAAGCUCUGAAUGACAAGAAGGAGCCAGUUGCAGAGACAAGAACCACUAGUUCAAAGACGCUAGGCUGGAGAGCAAGCCUGGUUCCCAAGAGCUGAAGGAGCCAGCAUGACUGAGGGAGCAGCAGAGAGCAAGGCGGCCACAGAUCCCACUGGAUUUGUUAGGCCUGUAAGAAGUUUAAAUGGAAAUUUUAAAGCAGAGAAUUGAUAAAAUCUAUUUUAAUAAAUCCCUCUGGUUAUUGAGUGCACAUUGGGCUUUAAGGAGUCAGGUGUAGAAGCAGGAAUACAAGUUAGGAUAUAGAUGCAGGAGGAGUCAAGGCAAUUCUCUGCUCACACAGCACUUUGCAAAGACUCAAUAUUAACAUUACACAUUUUAAAAAAAUUGAUAUAUGUUUUUUCCUCUGUUUAGACAAUCAGAUUCUUAAAAGCAGGAAUAAAGCAUCACUCUGCAAUAAACAUUCUUCCCUGGAUGAAUAAGUCAAUGGAAAACUGAAUGAAUAAGAUAAGGUCCCUGCCCUCAGAAAGCUUAAGAUCUCCAAAACAGACAUCAUUCAAGUAACCAGAUCUCAGAGUAGGUUAUUCACGUUGCAUAAGUGGUAGAAAAUUUUAUAUACAGGGCAGAGGAGGAAGAAAGUGGAUUAUCCAACUGAGGAUGUGAUACUGAAUCAGAACCUCAGGGUCUGCUGUUCUUUAACACAGUGGGAUGUUAAAAUGAGGUGGCAGGAGUUUGACAGAGAACAAAUUGAGUCAGCCUCCCCUUCUGAUGUUUCCUAGUUUCAGAUAAGGGCUAUAUUUAGACUCAGAGUUCUAGGUCAAAACGCAACUCAUUGAAUCCAUUGAGAAAUGAUUCAUCUCUGCUGGACUAUCAAAUAAAAAGCAAAAAGUAAACAGGAGUGUCAGAUUACAUUUGGAUUGUUCAAAUUACAGUAAAACUCUGACAUUUGGGUGAAAUGCUCAUGUUCUAAAUGUUUUUUUUUUUUUUCCUGGAGUUAUAAAAAGAUCAUCGAUGAGAAAGAGUCAAGUAUAGUUUUAGUAUAUCCCCUUCCGCCUUGUCUGGAGUUCACUUUCCUGAGGGGUUCCACUGCCUCUGCCCAAGCACCCAGGGCCCCCAAGUUACACAAAUAUAAUCAAGGCCUUUGCUCCUUCCCUUUCCCUUUCUGUUUCACUCCUCCUUCCCCAACCUACCUCAACUCUAUCUAUCUGUCUGUCUAUCUAUCGAUCUAUCAAUCAUUGCUUUUUGCCCCAUAAUAAAACCCCACAAAAUUUGAUUUAACCAUUUCUAAUGUCUCCCAAUUCUGUGAGUGGCCUAGCUAGCUCUUCUGGAUCAGGCCAGUUCAUUUGGGCUACAGCCAGCCAGGACAACAGGAAUGCUUAAAGUCUUUUUUCAUGUGGUCUCUCAUCCUUCAGGAUGUUUUUCUAUGGGAUGCCAGAAAGAUUCCCAGCAGCUGGAGAAGAAAAAUUGAAAGCACCUUCCAAGACUCUGGACUACAUUUUCUAACUGGCUAAAAGGAAGCUAGCUGUCCCAGCCCAAGUUCAAAGGAUAGAGAAAUAAACUCAACUUUUUGAUGGGUGGCAUGGCAGAAAAUUCCAUUGCAAAGGGAUACACAUACAUAGAUAUAAAUCAUUUGUGACUGUGUUGUGAUCUGUCAUACUGUUAUUUUGGAGAAAUCCCAUUAAUUUAAGUCAUACUUAGGUGAUAAGGAACCCUCACAGGUGGUUUGCUUCCUAACUUGGUGAAGUACGUCACCUCAAGGGAAUCAAACUCCAAAGUCAGAAUUUCAGGCCCAGGAGUUCCCAUCAUGCCUCAGCAGUUAACAAACCCUACUAGUAUCCAUGAGGAUGCGCGUUCAAUCCCUGGCCUUGCUCAGUGGGUUAAGGAUCUGGCACUGCUGUGAGCUACGGUGUAGGUCACAGACGCUGCUUGGAUCCUGAGUUGCUAUGGCUGUGGCGAGGCCAGCAGCUGUAGUUCUGAUUCAGCCCUUAGCCUGGGAACUUCCAUAUGCUACAGAGUGUGGCUCUAAAAAGACAAAAG